AUUGAACGCUGGCGGCAGGCCUAACACAUGCAAGUCGAACGGUAACAGGGAUCAGCUUGCUGCUUCGCUGACGAGUGGCGGACGGGUGAGUAAUGUCUGGGAAACUGCCUGAUGGAGGGGGAUAACUACUGGAAACGGUAGCUAAUACCGCAUAACGUCGCAAGACCAAAGAGGGGGACCUUCGGGCCUCUUGCCAUCGGAUGUGCCCAGAUGGGAUUAGCUAGUAGGUGGGGUAACGGCUCACCUAGGCGACGAUCCCUAGCUGGUCUGAGAGGAUGACCAGCCACACUGGAACUGAGACACGGUCCAGACUCCUACGGGAGGCAGCAGUGGGGAAUAUUGCACAAUGGGCGCAAGCCUGAUGCAGCCAUGCCGCGUGUAUGAAGAAGGCCUUCGGGUUGUAAAGUACUUUCAGCGGGGAGGAAGGGAGUAAAGUUAAUACCUCGGCUCAUUGACGGUACCCGAAGAAGAAGCACCGGCUAACUUCGUG
rnacentral:rRNA from 1 species